AUAUCGCCCAUACUCCUAUUUUCUUUUCAUUUAAUUAAUAUCUUCUUCUUUUUUUUUCUUCUCUUUUCUCCUCUUCUGUAAUUCUGUGAUAAUUAUAAAAUAAAACAAAAGAAGUCCCAGA
rnacentral:ribozyme from 14 species